rnacentral:rRNA from 1 species
UACGGAGGGUGCAAGCGUUAUCCGGAUUCACUGGGUUUAAAGGGUGCGUAGGUGGGCAAGUAAGUCAGUGGUGAAAUCUCUGGGCUUAACCCAGAAAUUGCCAUUGAUACUGUAGGGCUUGAGUACAGUUGCUGUGGGCGGAAUAUGACAUGUAGUGGUGAAAUACAUAGAGAUGUCAUAGAACACCGAUUGCGAAGGCAGCUCACAAAACUGUAACUGACACUGAGGCUCGAAAGUGCGGGGAUCAAACAGG